rnacentral:rRNA from 1 species
GACGAACGCUGGCGGCGUGCUUAAUACAUGCAAGUCGAAGGGGUUGUAGUCUUCGGACUGCAAUCACUGGCGCACGGGUGAGUAACACGUAAGUAAUCUGCCCUCGGGUCUGACAUAACUCCGGGAAACCGGAGCUAAUAGCAGAUGACAUGGGAACAUCAAAGGAUCAGCGCAAGCUGAUCUGCCCGGGGAUGAGCUUGCGUCUGAUUAGCUAGUU